GUGCCUACUUCAGUAGCACCUAUACUAAAAUGGGAACAAUAUAGAGAAGCAUGGUCCCUGCACAAGAAUGACAUGCAAAUACAUGAAGUGUUUGUGGUUGUU
ensembl:snRNA U6 U6 spliceosomal RNA